GCGCCCGUAGCUCAGCUGGAUAGAGCGUCGGUCUACGAAACCGAAGGUCACAGGUUCGAAUCCUGUCGGGCGCG
rnacentral:tRNA from 3 species